CAAAAAGGAGAUUUACUGCGAGUGCCAGAAUUGUUAAUUGAUUGGUCGAGCGUUGGACGCUGGCUGGAUGUUCUUGACAAGUGACGGUUCCAUCGAGCUACCAGAAUCUGCUGGAUCUGCAGACACAGAUCUGCACAUGCGUCGCUGUAGCAAGAACAAGUAUAAGCACAGGUCACCUACGGUUUGUCUCGACACACGAACUAUUGGGGGAUCUAUCGAGAAAGGCAUUUUCCCAGAGGAAGACGACUCAGCAGGAUGCAGUAGGCCCCUUCCCCGCCCUUUUUCCGUACGGCUGAGCUGUGCGCUGAAAGCCGGAAGGCGCUUCGGGGAAGAGCACCCGAGUCGGGAGGAAGAGGCACUCUUUCGGCGUCUCUCUCUUCCCGUCACCACGACCAGACGCUUCAUUCUCU